rnacentral:rRNA from 1 species
GUUAGAUAGUAGAAGGAUAAUUUGGGAGCAGGGGCAUGUAAGAACCGAAACUCGAGCAACACGCUUUUCCAAGUGAAUAGCACAUGCAAAAACUUGGGCGCUGAGUGUUGAGCACGCGGUGAGAGUGGCGGACGGGCGAGUAACGCGUGAGCAACCAACCUUGCACUGGGGGAUAACGUCGGGAAACCGGCGCUAAUACCGCAUGACAUUACUGGAUCGCAUGGUCUUGUAAUCAAAGCUCCGGCGGUGCGAGACGGGCUCGCGUCCAAUUAGCUGGUUGGCGGGGUAAAGGCCCACCAAGGCGACGAUUGGUAGCCGAACUGAGAGGUUGAUCGGCCGCAUUGGGACUGAGACACGGCCCAGACUCCUACGGGAGGCAGCAGUGGGGGAUCUUGCGCAAUGGGGGAAACCCUGACGCAGCGACGCCGCGUGAAGGAAGAAGGGCCUUCGGGUUGUAAACUUCUUUGAUCGGGGACGAAGCAGACGGUACCCGAGGAACAAGCCACGGCUAACUACGUG